CCAGAUAUUUGAUUUCGAAGUUUUUUAUUUGUGAAACUGGUAGAGAUGGUUCAUCUUUUUGUGCUGAAAUUUACAGUUUUUUUUUAAGUGUGAUUAGGUGGUUCUUGCUGCUUCCAUUAUUAGUAAAUCUGGUGAAGUCCUUGUCUCAAGGAAGUUUGUGGAUAUGACUCGUAUAAGAAUUGAAGGCUUACUUGCUGCAUUUCCCAAGUUGGUUGGUAUAGAAAAACAACAUACAUUUGUUGAGAUUGAAAAUGUCAGAUUGAAACUGGUUGGCGUUGUUUUUAGGUAAACUUUGUGUUCUUGGUAUUCUUGAUGACAAUGCUAGGGAAGACAUACAAUGAGAAAUGAAAAUGUUAUGUGCCUUGUUUGCAGUUUUGGUUUUUGAUUGUUUAUAUGGUAUGAGUUUGCGCGGUUUUCAGCAUGUAAGAAUGCUUGUAGUUGAUUCGGUUUCUUUUGCCUUGAGAUACCAGUAGUUUUAUUUUCCUUGACAUACCAGUAGUUUUAAACCAUGUCAGCUGGAGCGAACAUUACUCAAGAAUCAUGAAAGAAUCAAUCGAUCAAAUUGUUUACUUGUUACAGAUGCACUUAGCUUAUUUGUUUGUAAUGUGCAAAAUCAAUCCGAACGGGCAUCGAAAGUUGUUAUUUCUUUUUUACAUAGGUUCAGAGUAGGUUCAUUCUAAUAGUAUAUCUUGAUUUGAUAAACAAAUUGUCUGUUAGGGAGACUUGUUUGCACGAGAAAGACACAUUAACUGUAGGAAAUGGUUUUGAGAAAUGUUCUUUGCUCUCUUCGUUAUGCUGUCCAUUUGGACAUGUAAUUGUUUUCUAAUGUGGUUUUUUGUCGUCUUGAUUCUUAAUAUCAUUGAAGAUUCCACAAAUUAUUUCCUUAAGUCUAUUCAGGUUCCCGAAUAUUGCCCCGCUAUAGAUGUAGAAGGAAUUUUCCAGUCAGGGUUUGAGUUGAUUUUUGCUUUCAAGCUCAGAUGGAGUCUGGAACCAACUCUGCCAUCCAUUUCAAAACACAUCCAAACAUCAACAAAGAGUUGCUUUCAAAUGAAAACAUACUAGGCCUGAAAGAUCCAAAUUGACCUUUUCCAAAAUGUCCACCUGGUGAUGCAGGUGUUAGUCUCUUGAGGUGGAGAAUGCUGAGUACUGACGAGUCUUUAGAGCCCCUGACCAUCAAUUGCUAGCCGUCUGUAUCUGGAGGUGACAGUUAUGUUAGCAUGGAAUAUGAGGCAUCAACUAUGUUUGAUUUGCACAAUCUUGUGAUCUCGGUCCCCCUUCCUGCACUUCGAGAUACAUCAAAUGUGAGCCAGGUUGAUGGUGACUGGAGGUAAUUGGUUCUUUUUGUGUUGGAAGUACCGUGCCAUCAACAAUAAAAGUGAGAAUUGCAGUGUUGAGGCUCAACUCACCCAGUCCAAGAAAGAGGACUGACGGAAGGAUACCAGCAUCGCAACUACUUGAGAUAUCUGUUGUCUUUUGUUGUCUUUUUAUUUUCUUGGAUGUUGUCUCCUUUCUUUUAUGUUACUUGAACAAAGAAUACUUGUGAGAUUGGGUUUUUAUAAUAUAUGAUGAU